GACGAACGCUGGCGGCGUGCUUAACACAUGCAAGUCGAACGAUGAAAGAGAAUCCGAUCUCUUCGGAGUGAAGAAUCUCUGGAUUAGUGGCGGACGGGUGAGUAACGCGUGAGCAAUCUGCCUUACACAAAGGGAUAGCCUCGGGAAACCGGGAUUAAUACCAUAUGACAUCUAUUAACCGCAUGGUUUAUAGAUUAAAGAAUUUCGGUGUAAGAUGAGCUCGCGUCCCAUUAAUUAGUUGGUGAGGGUAACGGCCCACCAAGAUAGCGAUGGGUAGCCGAUCUAAGAGGAUGACCGGCCACAUUGGAACUGAGAAACGGUCCAAACUCCUACGGGAGGCAGCAGUGGGGAAUAUUGCACAAUGGGGGAAACCCUGAUGCAGCGACGCCGCGUGAGCGAUGAAGGCUUUCGAGUCGUAAAGCUCUGUCCUAUGGGAAGAUAAUGACGGUACCAUAGAAGAAAGCCCCGGCUAAUUACGUGCCAGCAGCCGCGGUAAUACGUAAGGGGCGAGCGUUGUCCGGAAUUAUUGGGCGUAAAGAGUGCGUAGGCGGCAAAUUAAGUCAGAUGUGAAAACUAAGGGCUCAACCCAUAGAUUGCAUCUGAAACUGAUAUGCUUGAGUCAAGGAGAGGAAAGUGGAAUUCCUAGUGUAGCGGUGGAAUGCGUAGAUAUUAGGAGGAAUACCGGUGGCGAAGGCGACUUUCUGGACUUGAACUGACGCUGAGGCACGAAAGCGUGGGGAGCAAACAGG
rnacentral:rRNA from 2 species